AUGAGCAACAUCAACAAAAACAAAUUACCAGUAGUUUACCAAAUCUACUUCAAAAGCAACAAAAUAGUUUUCUUACCACAUCCCACUUCAUCUCUCCAAUAAACAAACGGCUGCUGAUCUUCAGGGGGGCCUACAUCAGACUUCAGCUUCAGCUUGUGGCUGAAUGUUGUAGUACCAAAAGCUUCAGGAUCGACGACUACUUCAACAAACUGGUGUACCCAUGUAUCAGUUGCAACCGUAUACCUGUAAAUCAAAGCUCGCCGAAGAUCGGGUCGCAAAUGGACAUUUAGAAGGCGUCUCCUCGAUCUCUAACAAAACCAGGAAGCCUCCAUUGCAUUGAAC
rnacentral:lncRNA from 1 species